CACUAUCGUUAACUGAAUACAUAGGUUAACGAGGCGAACCGGGGGAACUGAAACAUCUAAGUACCCCGAGGAAAAGAAAUCAACCGAGAUUCCCCCAGUAGCGGCGAGCGAACGGGGAGCAGCCCAGAGUCUGAAUCAGCUUGUGUGUUAGUGGAACGGUCUGGAAAGUCCGACGGUACAGGGUGAUAGUCCCGUACACCAAAAUGCACAGGCUGUGAACUCGAAGAGUAGGGCGGGACACGUGGUAUCCUGUCUGAAUAUGGGGGGACCAUCCUCCAAGGCUAAAUACUCCUGACUGACCGAUAGUGAACCAGUACCGUGAGGGAAAGGCGAAAAGAACCCCGGCGAGGGGAGUGAAAAAGAACCUGAAACCGUGUACGUACAAGCAGUGGGAGCACCUUCGGGUGUGACUGCGUACCUUUUGUAUAAUGGGUCAGCGACUUAUAUUCUGUAGCAAGGUUAACCGUAUAGGGGAGCCGCAGGGAAACCGAGUCUUAACUGGGCGUUAAGUUGCAGGGUAUAGACCCGAAACCCGGUGAUCUAGCCAUGGGCAGGUUGAAGGUUGGGUAACACUAACUGGAGGACCGAACCGACUAAUGUUGAAAAAUUAGCGGAUGACUUGUGGCUGGGGGUGAAAGGCCAAUCAAACCGGGAGAUAGCUGGUUCUCCCCGAAAGCUAUUUAGGUAGCGCCUCGUGAACUCAUCUUCGGGGGUAGAGCACUGUUUCGGCUAGGGGGUCAUCCCGACUUACCAACCCGAUGCAAACUACGAAUACCGAAGAAUGUUAUCACGGGAGACACACGGCGGGUGCUAACGUCCGUCGUGAAGAGGGAAACAACCCAGACCGCCAGCUAAGGUCCCAAAGUCAUGGUUAAGUGGGAAACGAUGUGGGAAGGCACAGACAGCCAGGAUGUUGGCUUAGAAGCAGCCAUCAUUUAAAGAAAGCGUAAUAGCUCACUGGUCGAGUCGGCCUGCGCGGAAGAUGUAACGGGGCUAAACCAUGCACCGAAGCUGCGGCAGCGACACUAUGUGUUGUUGGGUAGGGGAGCGUUCUGUAAGCCUGCGAAGGUGACCUGUGAGGGUUGCUGGAGGUAUCAGAAGUGCGAAUGCUGACAUAAGUAACGAUAAAGCGGGUGAAAAGCCCGCUCGCCGGAAGACCAAGGGUUCCUGUCCAACGUUAAUCGGGGCAGGGUGAGUCGACCCCUAAGGCGAGGCCGAAAGGCGUAGUCGAUGGGAAACAGGUUAAUAUUCCUGUACUUGGUGUUACUGCGAAGGGGGGACGGAGAAGGCUAUGUUAGCCGGGCGACGGUUGUCCCGGUUUAAGCAUGUAGGCUGGUUGUCCAGGCAAAUCCGGAUAAUCAAGGCUGAGGUGUGAUGACGAGGCACUACGGUGCUGAAGUAACAAAUGCCCUGCUUCCAGGAAAAGCCUCUAAGCAUCAGGUAACAUCAAAUCGUACCCCAAACCGACACAGGUGGUCAGGUAGAGAAUACCAAGGCGCUUGAGAGAACUCGGGUGAAGGAACUAGGCAAAAUGGUGCCGUAACUUCGGGAGAAGGCACGCUGGUGUGUAGGUGAAGUCCCUGCGGAUGGAGCUGAGACCAGUCGAAGAUACCAGCUGGCUGCAACUGUUUAUUAAAAACACAGCACUGUGCAAACACGAAAGUGGACGUAUACGGUGUGACGCCUGCCCGGUGCCGGAAGGUUAAUUGAUGGGGUUAUCCGUAAGGAGAAGCUCUUGAUCGAAGCCCCGGUAAACGGCGGCCGUAACUAUAACGGUCCUAAGGUAGCGAAAUUCCUUGUCGGGUAAGUUCCGACCUGCACGAAUGGCGUAAUGAUGGCCAGGCUGUCUCCACCCGAGACUCAGUGAAAUUGAACUCGCUGUGAAGAUGCAGUGUACCCGCGGCAAGACGGAAAGACCCCGUGAACCUUUACUAUAGCUUGACACUGAACAUUGAGCCUUGAUGUGUAGGAUAGGUGGGAGGCUUUGAAGCGUGGACGCCAGUCUGCGUGGAGCCAACCUUGAAAUACCACCCUUUAAUGUUUGAUGUUCUAACGUUGGCCCCUUACCGGGGUUGCGGACAGUGUCUGGUGGGUAGUUUGACUGGGGCGGUCUCCUCCCAAAGCGUAACGGAGGAGCACGAAGGUUAGCUAAUCCUGGUCGGACAUCAGGAGGUUAGUGCAAUGGCAUAAGCUAGCUUGACUGCGAGCGUGACGGCGCGAGCAGGUGCGAAAGCAGGUCAUAGUGAUCCGGUGGUUCUGAAUGGAAGGGCCAUCGCUCAACGGAUAAAAGGUACUCCGGGGAUAACAGGCUGAUACCGCCCAAGAGUUCAUAUCGACGGCGGUGUUUGGCACCUCGAUGUCGGCUCAUCACAUCCUGGGGCUGAAGUAGGUCCCAAGGGUAUGGCUGUUCGCCAUUUAAAGUGGUACGCGAGCUGGGUUUAGAACGUCGUGAGACAGUUCGGUCCCUAUCUGCCGUGGGCGCUGGAGAAUUGAGGGGGGCUGCUCCUAGUACGAGAGGACCGGAGUGGACGCAUCACUGGUGUUCGGGUUGUCAUGCCAAUGGCACUGCCCGGUAGCUAAAUGCGGAAGAGAUAAGUGCUGAAAGCAUCUAAGCACGAAACUUGCCCCGAGAUGAGUUCUCCCUGAGACUUUAAGUCUCCUGAAGGAACGUUGAAGACGACGACGUUGAUAGGCCGGGUGUGUAAGCGCAGCGAUGCGUUGAGCUAACCGGUACUAAUGAACCGUGAGGCUUAACCUU
rnacentral:rRNA from 1 species